CGGGAUACACCCUGUGCUCGCUUUGCAUUCGAAACUAGUGAACACAGCUGGUGGUAUCUCAGU
rnacentral:pre_miRNA from 1 species